AAAAUCUAUUUUGUUAGAUUUUUGUAUAUGAUUAAGCUCUACAAUUAUUCAACUUCAACCCUAAAAAUUGUCAUUAAUAGGCCAAUGGCUUUUUUUUUCCUAAAAAAAUAAAAGAGGUUUAUCCUUGAGAUGGAAGAUUUCAAUCUAAUUAACAAGAGAGAGUUCAAUUCCCAUUGAUUUUAAUCUUAAAUUAAAUCGAACCAAUUCUAAACUAAUUUCACAUUAGAAAUGAAAAUUUUCAUUCUUUAGUUGCAUAAACAUUUAGACACUAAAAGAAGAGUGUGAUGGUAAAUUUCGCUUCUUGUUUUGGAGUCCUACACCAGCAAUGAAAAUAUAUAUAUAUUAUUUUAUAAUAAAGUUGAUAUCGACCCGUUAAAUAAAUAUUUUCCGGUGAGAAUUAUGGUCUAAUGGAUUAUAUAUGCUUAUUGCGAUUACUUGACUGACAAUACUUCUUCCCAGUUAUCAGUCUCUCUCUUUACAUGUCAAUGUUUUUGCAGAAGAAUGAGUGCUUUGAUGCGGGCUGUGCCUGUGGGUGACCCUAUUUUCUUCUUUCUUCUCUCAUAAUGGAGAUAUCUUCAUUGUUUUUGAGGCUUUUUCUUGAAUCUUGAGAGACCACACCAAGAAAUAAGAAUAUUAUAUUGUAAAAGUCAGUAGAAUAGCAAUAGUGGAGGCCCAUGUCCCCUCUCUCUCUCUCUCUCUCUCUCUCAUGCUUCUCUUUGGUCAUCCUCGUCAUUUUCAGUGCUAAAGCUUUUUCUUUCUUAUUAAAAAAACAAAGGGACACACAUAGCCUGUAAAAGGCACUCCUAAUAAAGCCUUGUAGGAAGAAGACAACAUCAUCCCUCCAAAAACCUAACAGCCUUUUCAUUAUUUUACUCUUACAAUCAUGUGCUUUUCCUUAUUUAUCUCUUUGUUUUUUCUUUUCUCUUCCCUCCAUUUCCUCUCUUUGUCUCACCUAUUAUACUUCUUUUAUAUGUGUUAAAGGGAAACACUCACAACUUCACUACUUUGCAGCCUUGCUUGCUAGGUUUUUGAUUGUUGAAUCAUGACAACAACACAGGUAGCCUAAUUGCUCUACCUUGUACAAAACCUUGGAAGAAGGAAAAGGGGUGUUUGGAAUGAAGUUUGAUCCAAGAUCCUUGUUUCUCCUUUAGUGUUUGUUUUGUCCAGAUGGGAUUAUUGCUUUUAAUCUUGAAUCUUAAUGUUUGGUUUUAUUAGUUGUUGCAUCAUGAGAGAGAUUGAAGAAGGGAGAUUUUCUUGUGAAUCAAGAUCUUCUCUCCCUCUUCUCUCUGUCUGUGUGUGCAUGUGGGAGAGUUUCUGAUGAACUUAAUUCAAGAUCCUUUUCUUUCUUCUCUUUCUCUCUGUGUAUAGAGAGAGAGAGAGAGAGAGAAGGAGCCUGAAAAAUUUGCAGUCAUGUCCCUGUCCUCCUUUUUUUCUUUCACUUGAUCUUGCAAGAAAUUAAUUAUCAUAGACUGAUCUCGGACCAGGCUUCAUUCCUCACACCAAGCUUUUCCAUGCUGAACUACAAUACAUAGAACCCUUAAAGAUAAUAAUCACAUCAUUAUGUCCAAAUGAGGAGAUGAUCAUAUCCAGUUGAUCAUUACAGUUUGUACACAUGGUCUUAAUUAAGCGACAUGAUUAGAUAUGUGUAUGCCAAGGCCAAAGUGUAAUUUCGUGCUUAAUGAUUAGAUAAUGGGUUCUCUAAAUCGACAAGAAAGCUUCUAGCUUUCUUCUUCAUGAUUAGAUGUGGCUAAAUUUUCAUUCUGUUUUUUGAAAUGUUCUAGCUUUGUAUGCUGAUUAUAUUCUAAAAGUUCUUGAAUUAUACCUCAGAACAUAUAAAUUCCUUUGGAAUUGUUUAGCCAUUUGCGUGCAGAAGAAGCAUUUCUGAAAUGGGUCACCAUAUAAAUGCUUGUUUGGCCUUGGCAUAUGCAGAAGCUAACUGAUGAUGAUGAUAAAAUUUAUUUUCUUCACUGUUCUUCAACAUGUUUUGCCUGUGAGAUCGACUGCAGCCAUGGUUAAGUUACUUGAUUACGUAGUGUAUUUGGUUGUUUUAAUGUAGAAGCAAUUUUAGGGUUAGAGCGGGGACGAUAUACCUAUAGCUAUUUUGAUGCAGACAAGGUUGUCUUCAAAACCAGCUGUCUUUAGAAUUUGAAAUUUUUCAUUCAAAGCUUGACACAGAGUCUAGGCAAAUCUUUCAAAUCCUUCAGUUCUGCAUGAGCUUCUGUUCAUUCCUGUAAGUUUUGAAAAUUUUUUUGUCUGGAUUUGAUUUCCAUGAAAG